rnacentral:rRNA from 1 species
GGAAUUUUGGACAAUGGGCGCAAGCCUGAUCCAGCCAUGCCGCGUGCGGGAAGAAGGCCUUCGGGUUGUAAACCGCUUUUGGCAGGAACGAAACGGCGCGGGCUAAUACCUCGCGUUAAUGACGGUACCUGCAGAAUAAGCACCGGCUAACUACGUGCCAGCAGCCGCGGUAAUACGUAGGGUGCAAGCGUUAAUCGGAAUUACUGGGCGUAAAGCGUGCGCAGGCGGCUCCUUAAGUCAGAUGUGAAAGCCCCGGGCUUAACCUGGGAACUGCGUUUGAAACUGGGGAGCUAGAGUGUGGAAGAGGGGGGUGGAAUUCCAGGUGUAGCAGUGAAAUGCGUAGAGAUCUGGAGGAACACCGAUGGCGAAGGCAGCCCCCUGGGCUAACACUGACGCUCAUGCACGAAAGCGUGGGGAGCAAA